GUAAAGCAUGCAGGACUAAACGAAUGAACCCUUUAAAAAGAUAACGGAAAAAGAGCACUGUAUCAUUAAGUAGGAGCAUGAAAAAGUUAGAACCUGGAAAAGGGUGCUACAGUUACAAACCGGUAAACAAAGUACGAAGAAAAGAGAAAUACAAACAAAAACUUAUACAACCCAACAAACAUGAACACCUAGGGAUAUAGUAUCUGACGAAUGUUUAGGGCUUAUUAAAUAUCAAUGUAUCUAUUUCAAUCUAUGUGUAACACAUAGAUUGAAGUUCCACACCAACUCACUUCAACACAUAUAGAUUACCGUGGAUACACGAGCAUCCAAAUAAGAACUUAGAAAGAUGUCAUGCUUGUUGAUGAUCUCCACAGGCCACAUCAACUCUCUCAUCCGACGAGGCGACGACACAUAAUUAAGAAACCGUUCCUGGCGAUCUUCCAGAGGUAAGACACGAGCUAACUCAUCACGGUGAUCAUCACCUAAUGAUGUUGAGGGUCCGGGCCUCCGGGGCUCAGGCGCUUGGACUCGUGCGACGACGCCACGCCAAACGCCGGGCCUCUGCUCUGCCCCUCGCCCGGCACCCUCAUCUCGGCCAUUGCCGGCUGUCCGUGUCCGGCCGGCAGCGCGUCCGGUCGUCCUCUCGGAACCCCUCUGCUCUGCCCCUCGCCCAGCACCCUCAUCUCGGCCAUUGCCGGCUGUCCGUGUCCGGCCGGCAGCGCGUCCGGUCGUGCUCUCGGAACCCGAGCCGAGUCGGAGCUCAGGACCGUGGAGAGCAGCAAGACGACGAGGAGUAGCAGGUGGCCAAGGUGACUCGCGCCGGUACGCGCCAUCGCUCUUGCUUCGGUGGUCCUGGGUGGACACUCGCCAAGCCGUGAGCUGUGCAGCUGCAAUGCCAGUCCUAUCACUCGUGCAGCCGCUAGCACUUGCAACGAGCCUAGCUAUAGAAAAGGUGCUAACGGUAGAAAGAUCAUAUAGGCCGAAGCUGGUGAUGAGUCUAGAGCUACGAGGAACACCAUCUUAUAUAGAGCCAGAUGAUGUGGAGGAGCCCAAUGCAGC
rnacentral:lncRNA from 1 species